CGCGCUGUGUUGGCCGGUGGGAGCGUCGGGGAGAAGCAGGAGGGGGAGCGGGGCUCCCGGAGCGGAGGGCGGCCGUUCUCUGAGGGGCAGAGAGGAGUCGCCCGAGAGGUCCACACUGAAUCUUCAGCCCACCUACUUGAAGAUAAGGAAACCAGGAGCCUGAGUGACCUGCCCCGGCCCACCCCACUGACGGGCGCAGCAGAGUCCGGGUUCAAGCCCUGGCCGUGUGACUCCAGACCUCCGGUCCUCACCCCCGGUUAGUGCCUGUCGCCCUGCCGGGAAGAUGAACCCACUCUGCGUCGGGGUGGCCCCGCAGCCGUCAGAAAGUGCAGGUCACCACGCCACUGGCCAUGUGUUCUGCAGACUUCCCCUACGGGGAAUGCCCACCGUGCUCUCGCCGACAAGGGUCAGCCCAGGAACUGGCAGCAGCAGCUCCAGGGGUUGGCGGGGCUGCUGACCUGCUGACCCAGGCAGAGGUCACCAAGCUGCCGGCCCUGACCUCACCCGGGACAGCAGACCGCUCUUUCCAGAACGUCGGCCUCCUGCUGCUUGACUCCCACAGCCGACCUGGGGUCCAGGGCAGACAAGCCUCACCCUGCAAGGCUCUUCAUAUCCUGGCACUUCAGGACUGUAAGCAGGACCUCUGACCUCCUAGCCCAGGAGAGCUACUUCCAUCCCAGUCCUGUUCAUCCUGAACGUGAUCUUGACCACCUGCACCGCACUCAGCAUUUCUGCUAAGAAGCCAUUAGACCGACCUCCUGCAUCUGGUCCCAUCUUCCCUCCCACUUAGAAUUUUCUCUUUGGCUUUUCAGCUCUGCAGCCACUCCUUCUCUCCCCACCCCUCCCUACACCAGAUCGAUGGAUGGCUGUUCCUCCUUUCUCAGCCUCAGCUAAGUCACCUGCUGAGGACGCGCCCAUCUCUUAGUCGCUUACUGCGCCCUCUGCUCUCAGUUACAGACUGUAAUCCUGUGUGUUUAUUUGUAUGGUGUCUGCUCCCCCCAUGUUUCUGGCAGGCACAGUGCCUGGCAGGGAAUAGACAAUCAAUUAGAAGUUGUUGAAUAAAUGAACCAGUGAGUGAAUGAACUGAAAAAGGAAAGAACACCUUAGUUUUUCUUCAAAUGAAUGUCUGCCAAAAUCUCUCAUGUCUUACACUUGUCUGAGUGAUUUUGUUAAAACUACAUCAUCCAACAGUUAACCUUCAUUCAUGCGUCUUUCAGGUCUUUUUCUAUGUAUUAUAGCUGUACAUACACAAAGUACCUAUGGAAGUCCCCUUUGUGGGAAAAUGUUAACUGUUUUAUAUGACAUGAUACGAUAUAUGUAAGGUAUCUCCCAGAGAGUAUAUAUUAUGUUACAUAUAAUACCUGUGCCACAUGUGUGUAUUAUCCCAAAGAAUAUAUUGUAUAUGUUUUUGUGCAAUUUCUUUUCUUGUUAAGCCACACACCAUGAAAGUCUCCCCCCACUAUUGCCUGUAGAUCUGGCUCAUUUUGUUAACAACUACAUAUUAUUUUUCAAAAUAAAAAUUAAAGUACUUGCUCUUUUCUUAUGGGA